GACGAACGCUGGCGGCGUGCUUAACACAUGCAAGUCGAACGGAAAGGCCCCUUUGGGGGUACUCGAGUGGCGAACGGGUGAGUAACACGUGAGUAACCUGCCCUUGACUUUGGGAUAACUUCAGGAAACUGGGGCUAAUACCGGAUAGGAGCUCCUGCUGCAUGGUGGGGGUUGGAAAGUUUCGGCGGUUGGGGAUGGACUCGCGGCUUAUCAGCUUGUUGGUGGGGUAGUGGCUUACCAAGGCUUUGACGGGUAGCCGGCCUGAGAGGGUGACCGGCCACAUUGGGACUGAGAUACGGCCCAGACUCCUACGGGAGGCAGCAGUGGGGAAUAUUGCACAAUGGGCGGAAGCCUGAUGCAGCAACGCCGCGUGCGGGAUGACGGCCUUCGGGUUGUAAACCGCUUUCGCCUGUGACGAAGCGUGAGUGACGGUAAUGGGUAAAGAAGCACCGGCUAACUACGUG
rnacentral:rRNA from 1 species